rnacentral:rRNA from 1 species
UGCCUUAGUAGCGGCGAGUGAAGCGGCAAAAGCUCAAAUUUGAAAUCUGGCACCUUCGGUGUCCGAGUUGUAAUUUGAAGAUUGUAACCUUGGGGUUGGCUCUUGUCUAUGUUUCUUGGAACAGGACGUCACAGAGGGUGAGAAUCCCGUGCGAUGAGAUGCCCAAUCCUAUGUAAGGUGCUUUCGAAGAGUCGAGUUGUUUGGGAAUGCAGCUCUAAGUGGGUGGUAAAUUCCAUCUAAAGCUAAAUAUUGGCGAGAGACCGAUAGCGAACAAGUACAGUGAUGGAAAGAUGAAAAGAACUUUGAAAAGAGAGUGAAAAAGUACGUGAAAUUGUUGAAAGGGAAGGGUUUGAGAUCAGACUCGAUAUUUUGUGAGCCUUGCCUUCGUGGCGGGGUGACCCGCAGCUUAUCGGGCCAGCAUCGGUUUGGGCGGUAGGAUAAUGGCGUAGGAAUGUGACUUUGCUUCGGUGAAGUGUUAUAGCCUGCGUUGAUGCUGCCUGCCUAGACCGAGGACUGCGAUUUUAUCAAGGAUGCUGGCAUAAUGAUCCCAAACCGC